rnacentral:rRNA from 1 species
GAAGAAAGAGGGAGGCGUGCUUAACACAUGCAAGUCCAACGGAAAGGCCCUGCUUUUGUGGGGUGCUCGAGUGGCGAACGGGUGAGUAACACGUGAGUAACCUGCCCUUGACUUUGGGAUAACUUCAGGAAACUGGGGCUAAUACCGGAUAGGAGCUCCUGCUGCAUGGUGGGGGUUGGAAAGUUUCGGCGGUUGGGGAUGGACUCGCGGCUUAUCAGCUUGUUGGUGGGGUAGUGGCUUACCAAGGCUUUGACGGGUAGCCGGCCUGAGAGGGUGACCGGCCACAUUGGGACUGAGAUACGGCCCAGACUCCUACGGGAGGCAGCAGUGGGGAAUAUUGCACAAUGGGCGGAAGCCUGAUGCAGCAACGCCGCGUGCGGGAUGACGGCCUUCGGGUUGUAAACCGCUUUCGCCUGUGACGAAGCGUGAGUGACGGUAAUGGGUAAAGAAGCACCGGCUAACUACGUG